AUUGAACGCUGGCGGAAUGCCUUACACAUGCAAGUCGAACGGCAGCACGGGAGCAAUCCUGGUGGCGAGUGGCGAACGGGUGAGUAAUACAUCGGAACGUGCCCAAUCGUGGGGGAGUAACGUAGCGAAGACUACGCUAAUACCGCAUACGAUCUACGGAUGAAAGACAGGGACGUCGCAAGAGCCUUGCGCGAAUGGAGCGGCCGAUGGCAGAUUAGGAGUUGGU
rnacentral:rRNA from 1 species